rnacentral:rRNA from 1 species
UACGGGGGGGGGCAAGCGUUGUUCGGAAUUACUGGGCGUAAAGGGCUCGUAGGCGGCCAACUAAGUCAGACGUGAAAUCCCCAGGCUUAACCUGGGAACUGCGUCUGAUACUGGAUGGCUUGAAUCCGGGAGAGGGAUGCAGAAUUCCACGUGUAGCGGUGAAAUGCGUAGAGAUGUGGAGGAACACCAAUGGCGAAGGCAGCCUCCUGGGCCAACACUGACACUCAUGCACGAAAGCGUGGGAGCAAACAGG